rnacentral:rRNA from 1 species
UACGUAGGGGGCAAGCGUUGUCCGGAAUCAUUGGGCGUAAAGAGCGUGUAGGCGGCCAGGUAGGUGGGUUGUGAAAACUGGAGGCUCAACCUUCAGAGGUCGACCCAAACCCCCUGGCUAGAGUCCGGAAGAGGAGAGUGGAAUUCCUGGUGUAGCGGUGAAAUGCGCAGAUAUCAGGAAGAACACCCGUGGCGAAGGCGGCUCUCUGGGACGGUACUGACGCUGAGACGCGAAAGCGUGGGGAGCGAACAGG